rnacentral:rRNA from 1 species
UACGGGGGGGCAAGCGUUGUUCGGAAUUACUGGGCGUAAAGGGCUCGUAGGUGGCCAACUAAGUCAGACGUGAAAUCCCUCGGCUUAACCGGGGAACUGCGUCUGAUACUGGAUGGCUUGAGUUCGGGAGAGGGAUGCGGAAUUCCAGGUGUAGCGGUGAAAUGCGUAGAUAUCGAGAGGAACACCUGCGGCGAAGGCGGGUUGCUGGGCUGACACUGACGCUGAUGCGCGAAAGCCAGGGGAGCGAACAGG